rnacentral:rRNA from 1 species
UACAGAGGUCCCAAGCGUUGUUCGGAUUCACUGGGCGUAAAGGGUGCGUAGGUGGUGAGGUAAGUCGGAUGUGAAAUCUCGGAGCUCAACUCCGAAACUGCAUUGGAAACUACCUUGCUCGAGGGUUGGAGGGGGGACUGGAAUUCUCGGUGUAGCAGUGAAAUGCGUAGAUAUCGAGAGGAACACCAGUGGCGAAGGCGAGUCCCUGGACAACUCCUGACACUGAGGCACGAAAGCUAGGGGAGCAAACAGG